rnacentral:rRNA from 1 species
GACGAACGCUGGCGGCGUGCUUAACACAUGCAAGUCGAACGGAAAGGCCCUGCUUUUGUGGGGUGCUCGAGUGGCGAACGGGUGAGUAACGCGUGAGUAACCUGCCCUUGACUUUGGGAUAACUUCAGGAAACUGGGGCUAAUACCGUAUGAGCGCCCCUGCCGCAUGGUGGGGGGGGGAAAUUUUCGGCGGUUGGGGUUGGACUCGCGGCUUAUCAGCUUGUUGGUGGGGUAGUGGCUUCCCAAGGCUUUGGCGGGGAGCGGGCCGGGGGGGGUGACCGGCAACAUUGGACCUGGGAUACGGCCCGGCCUCCUCCGGGAGGAAGAAGUGGGGAUUAUGGACCAUUGGGCGGAAGCCUGAUGCAGCACCGCCGCGGGCGGGAUGCCGGCCUUCGGUUGGUAACCCGCUUUCGCCUGUGACGAAGUGUGAGUGACGGUAAUGGGUAAAGAAGCACCGGCUAACUACGUG